AGCAGUAGCCGCGGUAAUACGUAGGGUGCGAGCGUUAAUCGGAAUUACUGGGCGUAAAGCGUGCGCAGGCGGUUUUGUAAGACAGGCGUGAAAUCCCCGGGCUCAACCUGGGAAUGGCGCUUGUGACUGCAAAGCUAGAGUGCGGCAGAGGGGGAUGGAAUUCCGCGUGUAGCAGUGAAAUGCGUAGAUAUGCGGAGGAACACCGAUGGCGAAGGCAAUCCCCUGGGCCUGCACUGACGCUCAUGCACGAAAGCGUGGGGAGCAAACAGGAUUAGAUACCCCUGUAGUCCCUGUCUCUUAUAC
rnacentral:rRNA from 1 species